rnacentral:rRNA from 1 species
CCUACUGGAGGCAGCAGUGGGGGAUAUUUCACACUGGGGGGAACCCUGAUGCAGCGCCGCCGCGUGAGCGCAGAAGUACCUCGGUAUGUAAAGCUCUAUCAGCAGGGAAUAAAAUGCCGGUACCUGACUAAGAAGCCACGGCUAAAUACGUGCCAGCAGCCGCGGUAAUACGUCUGGGGCAAGCGUUAUACGGAUUUACUGUGUGUAAAGGGAGCGCAGGCGGCCUGCCAAGUCUGGUGUGACAACCCGGGGCCCAACCCCGGGCCUGCAUUGGAAACUGGCGGGCUGGAGUGUCGGAGGGGCAGGCGGAAUUACUAGGGUAGCGGUGAAAUGCGUAGAUAUUAGGAGGAACACCGGUGGCGAAGGCGGCCUGCUGGACGAUGACUGACGCGGAGGCUCGAAAGCGUGGGGAGCAAACAGGAUUAGAUACCCCUGUAGUC